CCUACGGGUGGCAGCAGUGGGGAAUAUUGGGCAAUGGGCGCAAGCCUGGCCCAGCAACGCCGCGUGAAGGAAGAAUGCCCUCGGGUUGUAAACUUCUUUUAUUCGGGACGAAACAAAUGACGGUACCGAAUGAAUAAGCCACGGCUAACUACGUGCCAGCAGCCGCAGUGAUACGUAGGUGGCAAGCGUUAUCCGGAUUUACUGGGGGUAAAGGGCGUGUAGGCGGGAGAGCAAGUCAGACGUGAAAUUCCAGGGCUCAACCCUGGAACUGCGUUUGAAACUGGUCUUCUUGAGUGAGUGAGAGGCAGGCGGAAUGCGGGGUGUAGCGGUGAAAUGCGUAGAUAUACGGAGGAACACCAGUGGCGAAGGCGGCCUGCUGGACAUUAACUGACGCGGAGGCGCGAAAGCGUGGGGAGCAAACAGGAUUAGAUACCCUUGUAGUC
rnacentral:rRNA from 1 species